GAAGGCUGGCGGCGGACGCACAACUCGCCAACCGGGUCAGGUCCGGAAGGAAGCAGCCCUAACGAGAUCGCGCGGGUCGCCGUUCAGUCUUCCACU
rnacentral:SRP_RNA from 1 species